AGUAUUUUGACUAUACAAAGGUAUUGAAAUAAGACUUUAAUUGAGUGCUAAGAGAAUGGAAUUUCAUAAAAUUUCUUUUUUAAUUUUAAAAACUGAAAUUAAUUUUAUAUGUGAAGAAACAAUAAUAAAAAUUAAGGACAAGAAGACCCUAAGAAUUUUAAAAAUUUCAAUAAAAUGCUGUAUUUUAUUGAAAUUUUUUAAUUGGGGCGAUUAUUAAAUAUUAAAAACUUUAAUUUUUUUAAAAAAGAACCAAUAAUAUUGGUUAUUUGAAAAAAUACUCUAGGGAUAACAGCGUAAUAAUUUUUGAUAGUUCUUAUAGACAAAAUAGUUUGCGACCUCGAUGUUGGAUUAGGAUUCUUUUUUAAUGAAGAAGUUAAAAAAAGAAGUUUGUUCAACUUUUAAAAUCCU
rnacentral:rRNA from 1 species